CAUACGACCGUACCGCAAACCGACACUGGUGCGCGAGAUGAGUAUUCUAAGGCGCUUGAGAGAACUCAGGAGAAGGAACUCGGCAAAUUGACACCGUAACUUCGGAAGAAGGUGUGCCCUAUUAGUGUGUAGUGAACAACGAAGCAUGAAUGGGUUGCAAAAAAUCGGUGGCUGCGACUGUUUAUUAAAAACACAGCACUCUGCAAACACGAAAGUGGACGUAUAGGGUGUGACUCCUGCCCGGUGCUGGAAGAUUAAAUGAUGGGGUGCAAGCUCUUGAUUGAAGUCCCAGUAAACGGCGGCCGUAACUAUAACGGUCCUAAGGUAGCGAAAUUCCUUGUCGGGUAAGUUCCGACCUGCACGAAUGGCGUAACGAUGGCCACACUGUCUCCUCCUGAGACUCAGCGAAGUUGAAAUGUUUGUGAUGAUGCAAUCUCCCCGCGGAAAGACGGAAAGACCCCAUGAACCUUUACUGUAGCUUUGUAUUGGACUUUGAACAGAUCUGUGUAGGAUAGGUGGGAGGCUUUGAAGCAGGGUCGCUAGAUCUUGUGGAGCCAACGUUGAAAUACCACCCUGGUGUGUUUGAGGUUCUAACCUAGGUCCAUUAUCUGGAUCGGGGACAGUGCAUGGUAGGCAGUUUGACUGGGGCGGUCUCCUCCCAAAGCGUAACGGAGGAGUUCGAAGGUACGCUAGUUACGGUCGGACAUCGUGACGAUAGUGCAAUGGCAUAAGCGUGCUUAACUGCGAGACUGACAAGUCGAGCAGAUGCGAAAGCAGGACAUAGUGAUCCGGUGGUUCUGUAUGGAAGGGCCAUCGCUCAACGGAUAAAAGGUACUCUGGGGAUAACAGGCUGAUACCGCCCAAGAGUUCAUAUCGACGGCGGUGUUUGGCACCUCGAUGUCGGCUCAUCUCAUCCUGGGGCUGUAGCCGGUCCCAAGGGUAUGGCUGUUCGCCAUUUAAAGAGGUACGUGAGCUGGGUUUAAAACGUCGUGAGACAGUUUGGUCCCUAUCUUCCGUGGGCGCUGCAGAUUUGAGGAAGCCUGCUCCUAGUACGAGAGGACCGGAGUGGACACACCUCUGGUGUAUCGGUUGUCACGCCAGUGGCAUUGCCGAGUAGCUAAGUGUGGAAGAGAUAACCGCUGAAAGCAUCUAAGCGGGAAACUCGUUUCAAGAUGAGAUCUGCCGGGGCCUUGAGCCCCCUAAAGAGUCGUUCAAGACCAGGACGUUGAUAGGUCAGGUGUGGAAACAA
rnacentral:rRNA from 1 species